UACGUAGGUGGCAAGCGUUGUCCGGAUUUACUGGGCGUAAAGAGCGCGCAGGCGGUCGGAUAAGUCGAGUGUGAAAGCCCCCGGCUCAACUGGGGAGGGUCAUUCGAUACUGUUCGACUCGAAGGCAGGAGAGGGAAGUGGAAUUCCCGGUGUAGUGGUGAAAUGCGUAGAUAUCGGGAGGAACACCAGUGGCGAAGGCGACUUCCUGGCCUGUUCUUGACGCUGAGGCGCGAAAGCUAGGGGAGCAAACGGG
rnacentral:rRNA from 1 species